AGUUAAAGCUCCGGCGGUUAAAGAUGGGCAUGCGUAACAUUAGCUAGUUGGUGAGGUAACUGCUCACCAAGGCUACGAUGUUUAGGGGGUCUGAGAGGAUGGUCCCCCACACUGGUACUGAGACACGGACCAGACUCCUACGGGAGGCAGCAGUGAGGAAUAUUGGUCAAUGGGCGAAAGCCUGAACCAGCCAUGCCGCGUGAAGGAUGACGGCCCUAUGGGUUGUAAACUUCUUUUAUACGGGAAGAAACCGUCCUACGUGUAGGGCGUUGACGGUACCGUACGAAUAAGCAUCGGCUAACUCCGUGCCAGCAGCCGCGGUAAUACGGAGGAUGCAAGCGUUAUCCGGAUUUAUUGGGUUUAAAGGGUGCGUAGGCGGAAAUUUAAGUCAGUGAUGAAAUCCUGCGGCUCAACCGUAGAACUGUUAUUGAUACUGAAUUUCUUGAAUACAGUUGAGGUAGGCGGAAUGAGUAAUGUAGCGGUGAAAUGCUUAGAUAUUACUCAGAACACCGAUUGCGAAGGCAGCUUACUAAACUGAUAUUGACGCUGAGGCACGAAAGCGUGGGGAGCGAACAGGAUUAGAUACCCUGGUAGUCCACGCCGUAAACGAUGAUCACUCGUUGUUGGCAAUACACCGUCAGCGACUGAGCGAAAGCAUUAAGUGAUCCACCUGGGGAGUACGAUCGCAAGAUUGAAACUCAAGGGAAUUGACGGGGGCCCGCACAAGCGGAGGAACAUGUGGUUUAAUUCGAUGAUACGCGAGGAACCUUACCUGGGCUUAAAUGUAGAGCGACGGACCGGGAAACUGGUCUUUCUUCGGACGAUCUACAAGGUGCUGCAUGGCUGUCGUCAGCUCGUGCCGUGAGGUGUCGGGUUAAGUCCCAUAACGAGCGCAACCCUCAUCAUUAGUUGCCAGCGGGUAAUGCCGGGGACUCUAAUGAAACUGCCGGUGUAAACCGAGAGGAAGGUGGGGAUGACGUCAAGUCAGCACGGCCCUUAUGUCCAGGGCUACACACGUGUUACAAUGGUCGGUACAAAGGGCAGCUACCAUGCGAAUGGAUGCUAAUCUCGAAAACUGGUCUCAGUUCGGAUCGGAGUCUGC
rnacentral:rRNA from 1 species